UACGUAGGGGGCUAGCGUUGUCCGGAAUCAUUGGGCGUAAAGAGCGUGUAGGCGGUCCGGUAAGUCCGCUGUGAAAGUCGGGGGCUCAACCCUCGAAUGCCGGUGGAUACUGUCGGGCUAGAGUGCGGAAGAGGCGAGUGGAAUUCCUGGUGUAGCGGUGAAAUGCGCAGAUAUCAGGAGGAACACCUAUUGCGAAGGCGGCAUCCUGGACCAAUUCUGACGCUGAGGAGCGAAAGCCAGGGGAGCAAACGGG
rnacentral:rRNA from 1 species